rnacentral:rRNA from 1 species
UACGAAGGGGGCUAGCGUUGCUCGGAAUCACUGGGCGUAAAGGGUGCGUAGGCGGGUCUUUAAGUCAGGGGUGAAAUCCUGGAGCUCAACUCCAGAACUGCCUUUGAUACUGAGGAUCUUGAGUUCGGGAGAGGUGAGUGGAACUGCGAGUGUAGAGGUGAAAUUCGUAGAUAUUCGCAAGAACACCAGUGGCGAAGGCGGCUCACUGGCCCGUUACUGACGCUGAGGCACGAAAGCGUGGGGAG